rnacentral:lncRNA from 1 species
GGAAGGGUUUAGCUUUGUAAGCAUGAACUGUGCCUUAUCACUUCCCCUCAGAACAAGACAGGAGGAAAGGCCAUCUUCUGUGUUAUUUACUGUUAGAGCUGCAGCAAAUGGGGUGGGAUCAUGUGAUACAGAAGAGGAACUGAACUUCAAUAGUCCUGAAACAGCUGGCAGCAAAGAUGACAAAGGUACUGACAGAAAAGUUAUUUUUUUCCUCCUCAUUUUGAUGUUAUGGAUCGAUGUCCAUUCCAGUAGCAGCCUCAAAACCAUAGAUCACCUAGCGCGUGACUUCCAAGUCAACAAGAGACAUUUACAGAUACUACCCGAUAUUGAUGUAUUUUCAGUAAUAGAAAAAAAAAAAUUGACUGCAACAGUGGGAUCACAGCAAGCUCCAUCUGGACUAGCAGCGAUUCACAGGAUGUUGCUAAUGGUUUCAAUCAGAGGAGUCAUCUCUAAGUUUUAUUUAAACCUGGUCACUUUGGGCAUAACUGAAGGGUUUAUGCCACUGCCACGCAAUGAAGAGAGAUUAACAUCCAUCGUGAUUUUGUGGUUUAACACAGCUGGCAGCUAACUACCACACAACCUCUCUCUCACUCUCCCCAUGUGGGAUAGGGAAGAGAUGAGAAAGGUAAAAGUGCGAGAACUCUGUAUCUCCCGUAUGUAUACAGGUGUUGAUGUAUACUGCUGUGUUCUUGUUGUAACAAAUUUAGUUCUCCAAAACAAAAGUUAGAGAAGUAAUAGUAGUACCUUUAAUUUUGGAAUAUAUCUGAGAAGAAUGUUGUGAAUGUUACUAAAAUAAAUGCUUAUUCUG